rnacentral:rRNA from 1 species
GUGACUGCGUACCUUUUGUAUAAUGGGUCAGCGACUUAUAUUCUGUAGCAAGGUUAACCGAAUAGGGGAGCCGAAGGGAAACCGAGUCUUAACUGGGCGUUAAGUUGCAGGGUAUAGACCCGAAACCCGGUGAUCUAGCCAUGGGCAGGUUGAAGGUUGGGUAACACUAACUGGAGGACCGAACCGACUAAUGUUGAAAAAUUAGCGGAUGACUUGUGGCUGGGGGUGAAAGGCCAAUCAAACCGGGAGAUAGCUGGUUCUCCCCGAAAGCUAUUUAGGUAGCGCCUCGUGAAUUCAUCUCCGGGGGUAGAGCACUGUUUCGGCAAGGGGGUCAUCCCGACUUACCAACCCGAUGCAAACUGCGAAUACCGGAGAAUGUUAUCACGGGAGACACACGGCGGGUGCUAACGUCCGUCGUGAAGAGGGAAACAACCCAGACCGCCAGCUAAGGUCCCAAAGUCAUGGUUAAGUGGGAAACGAUGUGGGAAGGCCCAGACAGCCAGGAUGUUGGCUUAGAAGCAGCCAUCAUUUAAAGAAAGCGUAAUAGCUCACUGGUCGAGUCGGCCUGCGCGGAAGAUGUAACGGGGCUAAACCAUGCACCGAAGCUGCGGCAGCGACACUGUGUGUUGUUGGGUAGGGGAGCGUUCUGUAAGCCUGUGAAGGUGUGCUGUGAGGUAUGCUGGAGGUAUCAGAAGUGCGAAUGCUGACAUAAGUAACGAUAAAGCGGGUGAAAAGCCCGCUCGCCGGAAGACCAAGGGUUCCUGUCCAACGUUAAUCGGGGCAGGGUGAGUCGACCCCUAAGGCGAGGCCGAAAGGCGUAGUCGAUGGGAAACAGGUUAAUAUUCCUGUACUUGGUGUUACUGCGAAGGGGGGACGGAGAAGGCUAUGUUGGCCGGGCGACGGUUGUCCCGGUUUAAGCGUGUAGGCUGGUUUUCCAGGCAAAUCCGGAAAAUCAAGGCUGAGGCGUGAUGACGAGGCACUACGGUGCUGAAGCAACAAAUGCCCUGCUUCCAGGAAAAGCCUCUAAGCAUCAGGUAACAUCAAAUCGUACCCCAAACCGACACAGGUGGUCAGGUAGAGAAUACCAAGGCGCUUGAGAGAACUCGGGUGAAGGAACUAGGCAAAAUGGUGCCGUAACUUCGGGAGAAGGCACGCUGAUAUGUAGGUGAAGUCCCUCGCGGAUGGAGCUGAAAUCAGUCGAAGAUACCAGCUGGCUGCAACUGUUUAUUAAAAACACAGCACUGUGCAAACACGAAAGUGGACGUAUACGGUGUGACGCCUGCCCGGUGCCGGAAGGUUAAUUGAUGGGGUUAGCGCAAGCGAAGCUCUUGAUCGAAGCCCCGGUAAACGGCGGCCGUAACUAUAACGGUCCUAAGGUAGCGAAAUUCCUUGUCGGGUAAGUUCCGACCUGCACGAAUGGCGUAAUGAUGGCCAGGCUGUCUCCACCCGAGACUCAGUGAAAUUGAACUCGCUGUGAAGAUGCAGUGUACCCGCGGCAAGACGGAAAGACCCCGUGAACCUUUACUAUAGCUUGACACUGAACAUUGAGCCUUGAUGUGUAGGAUAGGUGGGAGGCUUUGAAGUGUGGACGCCAGUCUGCAUGGAGCCGACCUUGAAAUACCACCCUUUAAUGUUUGAUGUUCUAACGUGGACCCGUGAUCCGGGUUGCGGACAGUGUCUGGUGGGUAGUUUGACUGGGGCGGUCUCCUCCUAAAGAGUAACGGAGGAGCACGAAGGUUGGCUAAUCCUGGUCGGACAUCAGGAGGUUAGUGCAAUGGCAUAAGCCAGCUUGACUGCGAGCGUGACGGCGCGAGCAGGUGCGAAAGCAGGUCAUAGUGAUCCGGUGGUUCUGAAUGGAAGGGCCAUCGCUCAACGGAUAAAAGGUACUCCGGGGAUAACAGGCUGAUACCGCCCAAGAGUUCAUAUCGACGGCGGUGUUUGGCACCUCGAUGUCGGCUCAUCACAUCCUGGGGCUGAAGUAGGUCCCAAGGGUAUGGCUGUUCGCCAUUUAAAGUGGUACGCGAGCUGGGUUUAGAACGUCGUGAGACAGUUCGGUCCCUAUCUGCCGUGGGCGCUGGAGAACUGAGGGGGGCUGCUCCUAGUACGAGAGGACCGGAGUGGACGCAUCACUGGUGUUCGGGUUGUCAUGCCAAUGGCACUGCCCGGUAGCUAAAUGCGGAAGAGAUAAGUGCUGAAAGCAUCUAAGCACGAAACUUGCCCCGAGAUGAGUUCUCCCUGACCCUUUAAGGGUCCUGAAGGAACGUUGAAGACGACGACGUUGAUAGGCCGGGUGUGUAAGCGCAGCGAUGCGUUGAGCUAACCGGUACUAAUGAACCGUGAGGCUUAACCUUACAACGCCGAAGGUGUUU